AUUGAACGCUGGCGGCAGGCCUAACACAUGCAAGUCGAAUGGUAACAGGAAACAGCUUGCUGUUUCGCUGACGAGUGGCGGACGGGUGAGUAAUGUCUGGGAAACUGCCUGAUGGAGGGGGAUAACUACUGGAAACGGUAGCUAAUACCGCAUAACGUCGCAAGACCAAAGAGGGGGACCUUCGGGCCUCUUGCCAUCAGAUGUGCCCAGAUGGGAUUAGCUAGUAGGUGGGGUAACGGCUCACCUAGGCGACGAUCCCUAGCUGGUCUGAGAGGAUGACCAGCCAACACGGAACUGAGACACGGUCCAAACCCCUAAGGGGGGAAGCAGGGGGGAAUUUUGCCAAAUGGGGGGAAGCCUGAUGCAGCCAUGGCGCGGGUUAGAAAAAGGCCUUUGGGUUGUAAAGGUCUUUCAGGGGGGGGGAAGGGAGUAAAGUUAAAACCUUUGCCCAUUGACGUUACCCGCAGAAGAAGCCCCGGCUAACCCCG
rnacentral:rRNA from 1 species